UGGGGAAUAUUGCACAAUGGGCGCAAGCCUGAUGCAGCCAUGCCGCGUGUAUGAAGAAGGCCUUCGGGUUGUAAAGUACUUUCAGUCGGGAGGAAGGUGUCAAGGUUAAUAACCUUGGCAAUUGACGUGACCGACAGAAGAAGCACCGGCUAACUCCGUGCCAGCAGCCGCGGUAAUACGGAGGGUGCAAGCGUUAAUCGGAAUUACUGGGCGUAAAGCGCACGCAGGCGGUUUGUUAAGUCAGAUGUGAAAUCCCCGGGCUCAACCUGGGAACUGCAUCUGAUACUGGCAAGCUUGAGUCUCGUAGAGGGGGGUAGAAUUCCAGGUGUAGCGGUGAAAUGCGUAGAGAUCUGGAGGAAUACCGGUGGCGAAGGCGGCCCCCUGGACGAAGACUGACGCUCAGGUGCGAAAGCGUGGGGAGCAAACAGG
rnacentral:rRNA from 1 species